rnacentral:rRNA from 1 species
GUACACUCCUACGGGAGGCAGCAGUAGGGAAUCUUCCACAAUGGGUGCAAACCUGAUGGAGCAAUGCCGCGUGAGUGAAGAAGGUCUUCGGAUCGUAAAGCUCUGUUGUUAGAGAAGAACACGUGCUAGGUAACUACUAGCGCCUUGACGGUAUCUAACCAGAAAGUCACGGCUAACUACGUGCCAGCAGCCGCGGUAAUACGUAGGUGACAAGCGUUGUCCGGAUUUAUUGGGCGUAAAGGGAGCGCAGGCGGUCUGUUUAGUCUAAUGUGAAAGCCCACGGCUUAACCGUGGAACGGCAUUGGAAACUGACAGACUUGAAUGUAGAAGAGGAAAAUGGAAUUCCAAGUGUAGCGGUGGAAUGCGUAGAUAUUUGGAGGAACACCAGUGGCGAAGGCGAUUUUCUGGUCUAACAUUGACGCUGAGGCUCGAAAGCGUGGGGAGCGAACAGGAUUAGAUACCCGAGUAGUCCCA